CGAGGGAUCCUAGCGUUGUUCGGAAUCAUUGGGCGUAAAGCGGGUGUAGGUGGGCUUCUAAGUCAGAUGUGAAAUCCCAGGGCUCAACCCUGGAAGUGCAUUUGAUACUGGAAGUCUUGAGUGUGGUAGAGGUUACUGGAAUUGUUGGUGUAGUGGUGAAAUACGUAGAUAUCAACAGGAAUACCGGAGGCGAAGGCGAGUAACUGGGCCAACACUGACACUGAGACCCGAAAGCGUGGGGAUCAAACAGGAUUAGAUACCCUGGUAGUCCACGCCAUAAACGAUGGAUACUUGUUGUUAGAGGUAUUGACCCCUCUAGUGACGUAGCUAACGCGUUAAGUAUCCCGCCUGGGGAGUACGGUCGCAAGAUUA
rnacentral:rRNA from 1 species